UCGAAUCUCACCGUCGUCG
rnacentral:snRNA from 1 species